UACGAAGGGGGGCUAGCGUUGCUCGGAAUCACUGGGCGUAAAGGGUGCGUAGGCGGGUCUUUAAGUCAGGGGUGAAAUCCUGGAGCUCAACUCCAGAACUGCCUUUGAUACUGAGGAUCUUGAGUACGGGAGAGGUGAGUGGAACUGCGAGUGUAGAGGUGAAAUUCGUAGAUAUUCGCAAGAACACCAGUGGCGAAGGCGGCUCACUGGCCCGUUACUGACGCUGAGGCACGAAAGCGUGGGGAGCAAACAGGGAUUAGAAAACCCCCAGUACGUC
rnacentral:rRNA from 1 species